UAUGCCUCCAGAAUAACCAAGCGGUGAAAUAAACACCGUUCGGUUCAGACAGAGGCACAUAUCAAGUGUCAAACAUUCGAAUAGGUUUGAGGGUACGGAACGCUUCUUCUCUGUUCCUUGCCUAGAUGUAUUCGGAUAUUC